rnacentral:rRNA from 1 species
GAUGAACGCUGGCGGCGUGCCUAAUACAUGCAAGUCGAGCGAACGGACGAGAAGCUUGCUUCUCUGACGUUAGCGGCGGACGGGAGAGUAACACGUGGAUAACCUACCUAUAAGACUGGGAUAACUUCGGGAAACCGUAGCUAAUACCGGAUAAUAUUUUGAACCGCAUGGUUCAAAAGUGAAAGACGGUCUUGCUGUCACUUAUAGAUGGAUCCGCGCUGCAUUAGCUAGUUGGUAAGGUAACGGCUUACCAAGGCAACGAUGCGUAGCCGACCGGAGAGGGGGAUCGGCCACACUGGAGCUGAGACACGGUCCAGACUCCUACGGGAGGCAGCAGUAGGGAAUCUUCCGCAAUGGGCGAGAGCCUGACGGAGCAACGCCGCGUGAGUGAUGAAGGUCUUCGGAUCGUAAAACUCUGUUAUUAGGGAAGAACAUAUGUGUAAGUAACUGUGCACAUCUUGACGGUACCGAAUCAGAAAGCCACGGCUAACUACGUG